rnacentral:rRNA from 1 species
GAUGAACGCUGGCGGCGUGCUUAACACAUGCAAGUCGAACGGUGAAGCAGGAGCUUGCUCUUGUGGAUCAGUGGCGAACGGGUGAGUAACACGUGGGCAACCUGCCCCUGACUCUGGGAUAAGCGCUGGAAACGGCGUCUAAUACUGGAUAUGUGAUGUGACCGCAUGGUCUGCAUCUGGAAAGAAUUUCGGUUGGGGAUGGGCUCGCGGCCUAUCAGCUUGUUGGUGAGGUAAUGGCUCACCAAGGCGUCGACGGGUAGCCGGCCUGAGAGGGUGACCGGCCACACUGGGACUGAGACACGGCCCAGACUCCUACGGGAGGCAGCGGUGGGGAAUAUUGCACAAUGGGCGGAAGCCUGAUGCAGCAACGCCGCGUGAGGGAUGACGGCCUUCGGGUUGUAAACCUCUUUUAGCAGGGAAGAAGCGAAAGUGACGGUACCUGCAGAAAAAGCACCGGCUAACUACGUGCCAGCCGCCGCAGUAA